CCCCCGCUCCCUCAUUUAACCGUCCUCCCUCUGCCGCUCCCCACACCCGCCACCUUCUUCCUCCUUCCGAUUCUUCCUUUUCUCAACCCUGCCCCCUGCCCCUUCCUCUCCGAUUCUUCCAUUUCUCCACCCCCCCUUACCUGCCUCUCCUCUUACCUCAAUUUCGUCAGUUUUUCAACCCCUCAUUUUUUGCCGUUAUUAUAAACGGUACUAACUUCUAGGGCUUUACAUAUAUUCACUGAAAUUUUAGGUUUUUUUGUGCUUGUAUAAAUAACGUACCGAUUCAGUUUGGAUGGAGUAAAGACAAUGUUCAUUUUCAAUUGAAUCUGAGGUUGAUAGGACGAGUACAAAGCUAUCAAGGAUGUAAAGUGGAAAUAUCUGUUCGACUCAUUUCAUUUUAAGUGAAAGAAUAAGGAUAAGUGGUCUGCCACACAUCAAAGUGAGAAUAUCAGAGAUGGGUAUAAGAUUAAUAACAACCAAUAACUACAACAAGGAAAACAAGGUCGUCUUCGGCGGGGUUAGAUGCAGAUCCAUUUGAGGAAGCUACCUUUGCCCUGAAGGUUGGCGAGAUUAGCGACAUCAUGGAUACUGACAGUGGAGUCCAUAUCAUCUUGAGGAUCGGUUGAUUGCUAUAGAUGUCUUGAUCAUCUAAUAACUUUCUAUGCUUUCUUUAGUUUGAUAUGGUGCCUUCAUCUUGUUAUUCUUGAGCGACCGCAAUACAUAAGAUUUGGUGUAAUCAUGAGUGAAAUUUGUUUCUUAAAGGCAGCAAUUCAACAUUUUAAUGCUAAAUGAUAUAUUGAUGACUUGAUAAUUUAUAAUAAACUGACUUUGAUC